rnacentral:rRNA from 1 species
AGAAUCAACGCUGGCGGCGUGCCUAACACAUGCAAGUCGAACGCGAAAGUCCCGCAAGGGAUUAGUAGAGUGGCAAACGGGUGAGUAACACGUGGGUGACCUGCCUUCGAGUGGGGGAUAACGUCCCGAAAGGGACGCUAAUACCGCAUGACAUCCUGCUUUUUAAGAGGCGGAGAUCAAAGCUGGGGAUCGCAAGACCUGGCGCUUGAAGAGGGGCCCGCGCCUGAUUAGCUAGUUGGUGGGGUAACGGCUCACCAAGGCAUCGAUCAGUAUCCGG